AGAGUUUGAUCCUGGCUCAGAACGAACGCUGGCGGCAGGCUUAACACAUGCAAGUCGAACGCUCGUAGCAAUACGGGAGUGGCAGACGGGUGAGUAACGCGUGGGAACAUACCCUCCGGUUCGGAAUAGCUCAGGGAAACUUGGAUUAAUACCGGAUACGGCUGAGAGGCGAAAGAUUUAUCGCCGGAGGAUUGGCCCGCGUUCGAUUAGCUUGUUGGUGAGGUAACGGCUCACCAAGGCGAUGAUCGAUAGCUGGUCUGAGAGGAUGAUCAGCCACAUUGGGACUGAGACACGGCCCAAACUCCUACGGGAGGCAGCAGUGGGGAAUAUUGGACAAUGGGCGCAAGCCUGAUCCAGCCAUGCCGCGUGAGUGAUGACGGCCUUAGGGUUGUAAAGCUCUU
rnacentral:rRNA from 1 species